rnacentral:rRNA from 1 species
AUUGAACGCUGGCGGAAUGCUUUACACAUGCAAGUCGAACGGCAGCACGGGAGCAAUCCUGGUGGCGAGUGGCGAACGGGUGAGUAAUAUAUCGGAACGUGCCCGGUCGUGGGGGAUAACGUAGCGAAAGCUACGCUAAUACCGCAUACGAUCUACGGAUGAAAGCGGGGGAUCGCAAGACCUCGCGCGAUUGGAGCGGCCGAUAUCAGAUUAGGUAGUUGGUGAGGUAAAGGCUCACCAAGCCGACGAUCUGUAGCUGGUCUGAGAGGACGACCAGCCACACUGGGACUGAGACACGGCCCAGACUCCUACGGGAGGCAGCAGUGGGGAAUUUUGGACAAUGGACGCAAGUCUGAUCCAGCCAUUCCGCGUGCAGGAUGAAGGCCCUCGGGUUGUAAACUGC